UUACGGUCAAAUCACGCUGAAACACCGGUUCUCGUACGAUCACCGAAGUUAUGUAGAGCCAGGUCAGUACUUAGAUGGGGGACCGCUUGGGAACACCUGGUACUGUAAGC
rnacentral:rRNA from 1 species